AACUGAAAAACAUUACCAUCCAUGAAAGCCAGGAAGUGAGUGCACUCCAGGAACAGACCACAGAACGCAAAAGCGAAAUCGCAGAACUGUCACAGAAACUGAGCCAGAGGAAGCUAGAAGUGGCCACUUUAAAAGAUGAAAUAGCCUAACUUAAGUCUCAGAUUGUGGAGUCUCCUGAGGAGCUCAAGAAUGAGAUGGAGAAAAUGAAGGAGAGCAUAAGGAACAUCAAGAACUCGAAAGAGAUGGCUGACGCUGCACUAGUGGAGUUGCAGAUUAAGGUGCAGCAUGCUAGCCAAGGUGAAGCAGAGAUUCAAGGAAUACUGAAACAGCUGCAUGACCUGCAGGCAAGCAUGUG